rnacentral:rRNA from 1 species
AUGACUAGGGAUAACCUGAGGAAAAGACACAUAAUCAAACCUCUAGAUUGUGUAUUUUGUGCUGAGAAUGAGACUAAUCACCAUCUGUUUCUUGACUGUGUUGUAGCCAAAAACAUUUGGUCUUUUGUCAGUUGUUCUUUUCAAAAAACUGUGGGCGCGAACUUUGAAUCAGUGGCCCGCUUCUGGAUUUCUAACAAAAAACAUGUAGCUUUGAAUAUAGUUAGCUCAGCUGUCCUGUGGUGCUUAUGGCAAUAUAGGAACUCUAUGAUUUUCAAUAACACCAUUUGGACUUCUAUUACUCAGGUUUGGGGACUGAUCCACAGAAUGAUCAAAUUCUGGGUGAUUCUGACCCCAGAGGUGGACAAGGCCCUGAUGGAGACUUUCUUGGAGGCGUUGAGGAAGCUGCUCCAACAACCUUUGAUGAUCCUGAGUGGCUGA